rnacentral:rRNA from 1 species
UACAGAGGGUGCAAGCGUUAAUCGGAAUUAUUGGGCCUAAAGCAUCCGUAGCCGGUUCUACAAGUCUUCCGUUAAAUCCACCUGCUUAACAGAUGGGCUGCGGAAGAUACUAUAGAGCUAGGAGGCGGGAGAGGCAAGCGGUACUCGAUGGGUAGGGGUAAAAUCCGUUGAUCCAUUGAAGACCACCAGUGGCGAAGGCGGCUUGCCAGAACGCGCUCGACGGUGAGGGAUGAAAGCUGGGGGAGCAAACCGG